AAAUUCAAUGAAUAUUAUUGACCACUUGCUAUUUUCUAGGCAGCAUGCUGGGACACUGAAGACACAAAGAUGCCCUAGUCUGUCCAGGCUGAGAAAAAACGAAAGAAGGAAAGAAGGAAAGAAAGAAGGAAAGAAAAGUAAGAAAAGAAAGAAAGAAAGAAAGAAAGAAAGAAAGAAAGGAAAGAAAGAAAGAAAGAAAGAAAGAAAGAAAGAAAGAAAGAAAGAAAGAAAGAAAAGAAAUUGUAGCUGGCCUUCCCCUGCCACCAUGGGCUCACCACUGUCCAAGUUGUUGACAGUUUAAAUUAAACACCAUCAACUCACCAAUAAAUUGGAUGGGACAGAGUUAGGUCUCGCUGUCCCUCUCAGUUCCAUUAAUAAAGAGAAUUCCAUCAUUUCUGUUUGGAAUUGUUUUGAAGAUGACUACAGAGACAUUUCUGAGGUGGACAUGGACAGAAUACUUGACGUCAUUUCCCAAACACCACUAAUCGGUAAUUGGUUUUGCUUGAGGGUGCUCACGCUGAGACUUAAUUAUUUAUUGGCACAAAGCAUAAAAUAA
rnacentral:lncRNA from 12 species